rfam:Myotis lucifugus cont2.16155, whole genome shotgun sequence.
UGCGAUUCUCAGUUGACACACCCCAGAAUUGGGCUCCAUCCUCUCUGGUUCCUGGGUGUGUCACCCAAGAACCGCU